AAUAUACUAAACAAAGAACAAAAUAAUCUACUAAUAGAUAUAGACAAAAGUAAGCCUAAAUCAUAAUAGAAUUGCAUAGAAAUUACAAUUGCAUUAGAAUGUGUUUAAGCAAAAGAUGAUCGAGUGCUUGGAAAGAUCCAAAUUAUUGCUUUGGCUAUGACAAGAUCCACAACAAUUGGUUCCUUCUUUGACUAUUAUCUUCCCUGAAAAUAGCCAGCAUCAAUCCAUACAUAAUCAGCUAUAACCAGAUAAGUUAUUAUUGUACGAAAGCCUGAAAAGUCAUGUUAACAAGCUGACACGGUUUAACCUUGUAAAACAUGUCACUUUAGAGUUGCAUCAUGUCAAUUUGGAGAUGCAUCCUCCUAAGAUGCAACUCUAAAAUUUUAAGCCAUAAAGGAAUUCAUGCUAAUACUAAUAUGUGGGAAGUAGAGGGUAAAACAUACAAG
rnacentral:lncRNA from 1 species